CGGACAUCUGGCUUCUAUCAAGUCGUGCAAUCAAACCGCAUUCAUUUCCCGAGUGAUCUGGCUUGGGCAUGGAGGAACACAAGCCGCUUGGAUUGGUCUCAACGACAUAUGCUGUGAAGGUCAUUACAAAUGGAUUGAUGGAUCUGCAUACAGAUACUCACGCUUUGCUUGUGGGGAACCUAAUAACGUUGGCAACGAAGAUUGUGUGGAAACUAACUUUCGUCGUGUGGGAUUAUGGAAUGAUAAGUCAUGU